GGGGAAUAUUGCACAAUGGGCGCAAGCCUGAUGCAGCCAUGCCGCGUGUGUGAAGAAGGCCUUCGGGUUGUAAAGCACUUUCAGCGAGGAGGAAGGGUAGUGUGUUAAUAGCACAUUGCAUUGACGUUACUCGCAGAAGAAGCACCGGCUAACUCCGUGCCAGCAGCCGCGGUAAUACGGAGGGUGCAAGCGUUAAUCGGAAUUACUGGGCGUAAAGCGCACGCAGGCGGUUUGUUAAGUCAGAUGUGAAAUCCCCGCGCUUAACGUGGGAACUGC
rnacentral:rRNA from 1 species